AUGUUACCCACUGAGAGGAGGACUUCUCCAGCCGUCCUCAGAGUCGUUGUUGAUUUAGAUUCGAAUUGGUUGAUUGUUAGAGGUGUUAUGGGAAUUUUUUUGCAUGGUAUAUUGUGUAUAGUCACGAUAAGAGGAGAGGUUUGUGAGACAGUUGAGAGGUUGUUUAGUGUGGUUGAAGGUUUUGGACUGCUUUGGGGUAGCAGUAACAUAGCAGGGCAGCGGGUUAAAGUGGAGCAGCAUUGCAGCAGGUUUGUAGCAGGCCGGUUUUGGAUAGUUGGUGCAGGGAUUUGCAGGGCAGAUUUUGUCUUGAGUUGGUUUGAAUAUUAG